AGCAGGCUGCGCCACACCGAUACUGUCUGUCCCCACAGGUGGUCUCCGUGGGCAUCAAAGACGUGUUUGACUUCGUCCCAGGCUCCGACCAGCUCAAUGUCAUUUCUUGCCAAGGCCUGGUACCGUCCCAGGGCCGGCCCGGCCUCUCGCUGGUCAAGGAGAACUACGCAGAGCUGCUGGAGGAUGCCUUCCUGAAGAAUGUCACCGCCCAGAUCUGCGUAGACAAGAAGUGUCCAGAUUACACCUGCCCCAUCACGUUCUCCUCCCCGGCUGACAUCACCAUCCUGCUGGACGGCUCCGCCAGCGUGGGCAGCCACAACUUUGACACCACCAAGCGCUUCGCCAAGCGCCUGGCCGAGCGCUUCCUCACAGCGGGCAGGACGGACCCCGCCCACGACGUGCGGGUGGCGGUGGUGCAGUACAGCGGCACGGGCCAGCAGCGCCCAGAGCGGGCGUCGCUGCAGUUCCUGCAGAACUACACGGCCCUGGCCAGUGCCGUCGAUGCCAUGGACUUUAUCAACGACGCCACUGACGUCAACGACGCCCUGGGCUAUGUGACCCGCUUCUACCGCGAGGCCUCGUCCGGCGCUGCUAAGAAGAGGCUGCUGCUCUUCUCAGAUGGCAACUCGCAGGGCGCCACGCCCGCUGCCAUCGAGAAGGCCGUGCAGGAAGCCCAGCGGGCAGGCAUCGAGAUCUUCGUGGUGGUCGUGGGCCGCCAGGUGAAUGAGCCCCACAUCCGCGUCCUGGUCACCGGCAAGACGGCCGAGUACGACGUGGCCUACGGCGAGCGCCACCUGUUCCGUGUCCCCAGCUACCAGGCCCUGCUCCGCGGUGUCUUCCACCAGACAGUCUCCAGGAAGGUGGCGCUGGGCUAGCCCACCCUGCACGCCGGCACCAAACCCUGUCCUCCCACCCCUCCCCACUCAUCACUAAACAGAGUAAAAUGUGAUGCGAAUUUUCCCGACCAA
rnacentral:sRNA from 1 species